rnacentral:rRNA from 1 species
CCUACGGGUGGCAGCAGUGGGGAAUAUUCCGCAAUGGGCGCAAGCCUGACCCAGCAACGCCGCGUGAAGGAAGAAGGCUCUCGGAUUGUAAACUUCUUUUAUCAGGGACGAAGCAUGUGACGGUACCUGAUUAAUAAGCCACCGCUAACUACGUGCCAGCCGCCGCGGGAAUACGUAGGUGGCAAGCGUUAUCCGGAUUUACGGGGGGUAAAGGGCGUGGAGGCCGGAUAGCAAGUCAGAUGUGAAAACCAUGGGCUUAAACUGUGGCCUGCUUUGGAUACUGUUUAACUUGAGUACUGGAGAGGCAGACGGAAUUCCAAGUGUAGCGGUGAAAUGCGUAGAUAUUAGGAGGAACACCAGUGGCGAAGGCGGUCUGCUGGACAGCAACUGACGCUGAGGCGCGAAAGCGUGGGGAGCAAACAGGAUUAGAUACCCGAGUAGUC